UUUACCAAUACCCAACCCGUUAAAACAAACCCAAAAUUUUAACCCAAAACCUAACCCUUCACUCUCACGUCGUCUCUCCCAAAUCAUAGACUCUCUAUCCACCAUUAAAUUCAAUUUCUCCAUUAUCAUUCUGAAAUUUCUAAUAGGGUUUAGUUGUAUUCGUCAACUAUGAUUCAUCUUCAUAGUAACUUUUUCUUGUUAAAGAGUUCAAAAUGUCUGCAGGGUCAAGCGGCUCAAUUGACUCAAAGAAGAAGUGUCGUUGUGGAUUUGUAGCACAUCAUUUUACAGGGACGACUCCUAUGAACUGUGGGAGAUAUUUUUACAAGGGUCCAUUCCUUGAAUUAAGUAUAAUUUACAUAAUGCAAUUCACAAUUUUAUGGAUAAUAUUUUAUUGGAACAUAAUCGGUGAUUUUUAUUGUGUAAUUAUUUGGCAGAAACAAGGCUGUGGGUAUUGGGAAUUGGAUGAUAUAGAAUUUUUCCCCUGAGCUGUAAUCGUCAUUAGCAUUCAAAGGAGAAAAUUAGAAAUUUGAAAUUGAAAGAAAUAGGUUGAUAAAGAAGAUAGAUGAUUUAUAAGUUGUUGCUGUUAUUGAGCUAAAAUGAUAAUAGAGUUGAGGGAAAGAUUGGAUGUACUUGAAGCAUCUGCUAUUAAGGAUAACUUGAAGAUUGUGGAGUUGAGGGGAGAAGUAUUACGACAAUCGAAUUUUUUAAUUUUGUUGUUCACUAGCCUUACUGUGUUUAUGUCAGCAUGGGCUGAAAUGAUCCAUGUAAUAAUCAUUGCUUAGAAUUCUAUAGUUUGGUCUUUUGUUAGAAAUGCAUUGGUGCUAUGUAAUUUUGACUUCAUGUAAUAGUCUAUGUUGUGAACUUGUUUCCAAUAUUUCCGAAUCAUGUAAUAGUCUAUGUUGUGAACUUGUCUCUAAUCACAGGGAAUUUCUCAUCUUAGUAGGAGCUUUCCAAAGAAAUAGCUUAG
rnacentral:lncRNA from 1 species